GCUCAGAUUCCUUAAGAGCAGGAUAUUAUAACCACACUGAUGCACUUUUCCAGAGACGGGUGUAUGUUUUUUCCAGAAUCAAAAUUAUGCUUUUCCUGGGGAAUCCAUGCAAUGGGAAUGGGAGGGUCAGUUCUCGGACUUGCAGAUCUAGGUCUCUGAUGCAGACAGGAGAUGAGAAAAGGGCGUGUGACUCAAUGAGAUAUUAUGUUUCAAAUUCCAAACUCCUAGGAAGUUUUAUUUAUCAGCACAGGCUUGCACUGUGCGGUCAGCUAGAAGAAUGCAGGACCGAUUUUGUCAUCAGGGAGGGGGAGGGACCGAGUGAAGCCAUCAGGAUGCCUCACUUCAAAAUAACGCCAAUAGCUGAUGAUGCAUGGAUACAUGCAGUGUCUCCCAGUGAUGAUAUUCUCAGCAAGACUCCGCCUCCUGCUUUCAGAGUGUACCCAGAAACCCGUCUAUACCUUUCAGGAUGUUCUGGCACUCUGGGACCUGGCCUCCAGAUAAUCUCUGCUCCUUGGCAAAGGCUUAUGGCACAGAUGGGAAACAUUGCAGAAGAUUCAUGCUGGAGAUGACCUGCCCCCACCUGUUUGGGACCUGGCUCAACUCCAUCACCAACAGCUCCCCACCAGAGACCAGGAAGGCAAGGGGGAAGUGGAGUUCAGAAGGAAUAUCUCUUUUUUGGACCUAGCCAGGCCCCUGAUUGCCACUGAAAGAGCCAGGAAAGGAGCCAAAGGAAAAGAAGGAGAGAAAGAAGUGUGGAGGAAGCCACCCAGGCUCUUAGAGUAAAGCCAGACCCCUGGUGCUAAUAAACACAAACUGUGAGACA
rnacentral:lncRNA from 1 species